UCCGGUGUAGCUUAAUGGUAGAGCAGCAGUAAACUGAGGGCUUUGAUUUAGGAUUACAAUUACUUCUGCAGGGUGGCGGUUCGACUCCGCCCAUCGGAA
rnacentral:tRNA from 2 species